GGAGAGUUGCCUGAGUGGUCGAAAGGGGCCGCCUGCUAAGCGGUUGUAGCAGCGUAGAGCUGUUACCCAGGGUUCGAAUCCCUGACUCUCCGCCA
rnacentral:tRNA from 1 species